AUUGAACGCUGGCGGCAUGCUUUACACAUGCAAGUCGAACGGCAGCGCGGGCUUCGGCCUGGCGGCGAGUGGCGAACGGGUGAGUAAUACAUCGGAACGUGCCCAGUAGUUGGGGAUAGCUCGGCGAAAGCCGGAUUAAUACCGCAUACGACCUGAUGGUGAAAGCGGGGGAUCUUCGGACCUCGCGCUAUUGGAGCGGCCGAUGGCAGAUUAGCUAGUUGGUGGGGUAAAGGCCUACCAAGGCGACGAUCUGUAGCUGGUCUGAGAGGACGACCAGCCACACUGGGACUGAGACACGGCCCAGACUCCUACGGGAGGCAGCAGUGGGGAAUUUUGGACAAUGGGCGAAAGCCUGAUCCAGCAAUGCCGCGUGUGUGAUGAAGGCCUUCGGGUUGUAAAGCACUUUUGGCGGGAACGAAAAGGACUGUGCCAAUACCACGGUUCGAUGACGGUACCCGAAGAAUAAGCACCGGCUAACUACGUG
rnacentral:rRNA from 1 species